rnacentral:lncRNA from 1 species
UUUCUUCCAUGUGCACACGCUGAUUUCUCAACCUGGAAUCAUUUCCCUACACCUUUCCUCAAAGGACUGUUAAUGAGUUUUCAGAGAUGGAGUAGCAGUCUGUUGCCCAGGCUGGAGUGCAGUGUUGCGAUCUCAGCUCACUGCAACCUCUGCCCCCCGGGUUCAAGCGAUUCUCCUGCCUCAGCCUCGCGAGUAGCUGGGACUACAGGUACUUCACUGAAAUGUAACUACCACAAUGCAUCCUUUCCAUGUGACUAACUUCGCUCAUGGACCAGAAUCACUGUGGCUCUGCCCUGGAGUGGUGCAAAGAGCUCGCAUUCUGUUUGGAAAGCAAAUUAUUUAAAUCCAGUAGAGGACUCUCAAAUGUGGUUGGAAAAUCUAAGAAGACUUCCCAGAGGCAGCAGCACUAGUGUUAGGGAAAGAGCUCACAAAUUCCAUUGCUGUAGAAUCCAUGUGUUGAAGACCGCUACACUGGAAUCUAGUUUUCUAUCCUAAAAUCUACCUCCUGAGUUUGAGUAAGACUUGAACUAGUUUGCAAAUAUCUGUGAUCUUCACCUUGCCUGCCUGCAAAGCCCAUAAGCAAGUUCAGAAGAGACUUCUACUUGUCCAAAGCAACAUGGAGUAAAGUGGGUCAACUAGAAUUAAAAUAUGCUCCAGCCAAAGGUGACCAUGGAAACCUAUUGAUAAGGCUCUGGGGUCAGAUUCAUCUCUGUUCAGACAACUCUAGCGGUGUGACUCUGAGCAAGUGUUUUUUAACCUAAGUUCCUGCUUCCUCAACUGCAAAUGUAGGAAUGGUAACAUCUUCCUCAAAGUUGUAUGCUGGGGAUAACACAUGAAGGAGAUGCCUGGGCCAUAUAAUUAUUUAAGAAAUGUUCAUUUCUUUCUUGAACUACCUUCUACCAACUAUUUGGUCUGAGUUUAUGAAACUGUAAAUUUUGUCUAACAUUUGCCUAACAAAGCAUUAUUACCUUGCUUAAAGAAACACACAAUACAUUCUAAACCAAAA